UUUUCAUAACCCAAAAGUAACAUAAGAAUAAUUUAUAUACGUUGAUGAAGCGCAAACAUAGAAAUUGAUUAACUGUUUACACAACAAUAAAAUAAUAAAAACCGAGGAUCUAUCAACAAUCCGAAGCUAUGAAAUGGCAGGCCUUAAAUUGUACCACUGUUUUCUCUAGUAAUUCGAUAGGCAAGUGUCUUGUGUAUCCAUUGUACACAUGCAUUCAUCACUGGCGAAUUUGAAAAACUGGGUUUUGUAGUCAAAUUCUGUUGGAUCCUUGACUUUUUUCAACUCGUAAUACAGAAUAUGCUGUUAUAGAGUGAAUGGUUAUUUUCAACAUUAUAAACCACAAGAUUACCAUAAAAAUCCCGAAAUACCAGCUCUUCACCUGGAAGAUUUUCAAACUUAAAGUAUAAAAGAGAAAAAAAUAAAAUUUAAUUGAUGCAGCUCUUACCAGAAAUCCAUGUUCCAUUGAAGUAUCUUGGCUCUAAAUCUCCACUGAUGAUCUCUUCUAAGAUAUGAUGAGACAAAACAAGAAUAGAUAGACGUCAUUCGUCUCUAUAUCUUGUUGACAGAGUCAAUAAAAGGAGAAGAUAACACUCUUG